rnacentral:rRNA from 1 species
AUUGAACGCUGGCGGCAGGCCUAACACAUGCAAGUCGAGCGGAGCGGCGGACGGGUGAGUAAUGCCUAGGAAUCUGCCUGGUAGUGGUGGAUAACGUCCGGAAACGGGCGCUAAUACUGCAUACUAUCAGAUGAGCCUUGGUCGGAUUAGCUAGAUGGAGGGGUAAAGGCCUACAAAGGCGAGGAUCCGUAACUGGUCUGAGGGGAAGACGAGUCCAACUGGAACUGAGACACGGUCCAGACUCCUACGGGAGGAAGCAGUGGGGAAUAUUGGACAAUGGGCGAAAGCCUGAUCCAGCCAUGCCGCGUGUGUGAAGAAGGUCUUCGGAUUGUAAAGCACUUUAAGUUGGGAGGCGUUACCAACAGAAUAAGCACCGGCUAACUUCGUGCCAGCAGCCGCGGUAAUAC